rnacentral:rRNA from 1 species
UACAGAGGGGGCGAAGCGUUGUUCGGAAUUACUGGGCGUAAAGGGCGCGUAGGCGGCCUUCUAAGUCGAACGUGAAAUCCCCGGGCUCAACCCGGGAACUGCGUCCGAUACUGGAAGGCUUGAAUCCGGGAGAGGGAUGCGGAAUUCCAGGUGUAGCGGUGAAAUGCGUAGAUAUCUGGAGGAACACCGGUGGCGAAGGCGGCAUCCUGGACCGGCAUUGACGCUGAGGCGCGAAAGCCAGGGGAGCAAACGGG